GACGAACCGUCCGAACGUUAUUCGGUAUCACUGGGCUUAAAGCGUGCGUAGGCGGCUUGGUAGGUGGGGUGUGAAAUCCCUCGGCUCAACCGAGGAAUAGCGCUCCAAACCACCAGGCUUGAGGAAGACAGGGGUGAGUGGAACAGUUGGUGGAGCGGUGAAAUGCGUUGAUAUCAACUGGAACACCGGUGGCGAAAGCGACUCACUGGGUCUUUUCUGACGCUGAGGCACGAAAGCUAGGGGAGCGAACGGG
rnacentral:misc_RNA from 1 species